rnacentral:lncRNA from 1 species
GAUGUGAACCCACUAGGGUUUUCGCCGGAUCUUUCGAUGAGAGGCGCUGGAUAACUCGAUUAGUGAAUGGAGAUGACGUUCACGGCCCGACUACAGCCCUCAAGACCGCGCCUUAGCAACCGAUACACCGCCUCCAAUGGCUGUCACGAUCUUGUGGAGCGCAACACCCGGCCACUAGGGCACUCGUCCUGCAAGCAAUCGAAGAACCAGCAAGAACAAGUAGAACAAGUACUAAAUUACUAGAUGUA